GACGAACGCUGGCGGCGUGCUUAACACAUGCAAGUCGAACGGAAAGGCCCUGCUUUUGUGGGGUGCUCGAGUGGCGAACGGGUGAGUAACACGUGAGUAACCUGCCCUUGACUUUGGGAUAACUUCAGGAAACUGGGGCUAAUACCGGAUAGGAGCUCCUGCUGCAUGGUGGGGGUUGGAAAGUUUCGGCGGUUGGGGAUGGACUCGCGGCUUAUCAGCUUGUUGGUGGGGUAGUGGCUUACCAAGGCUUUGACGGGUAGCCGGCCUGAGAGGGUGACCGGCGACAUGGGGACUGAGAGACGGCCCAGACUCGUACGGGAGGCAGCAGUGGGGAAUAUUGCACAAUGGGCGGAAGCCUGAUGCAGCAACGCCGCGUGCGGGAUGACGGCCUUCGGGUUGUAAACCGCUUUCGCCUGUGACGAAGCGUGAGUGACGGUAAUGGGUAAAGAAGCACCGGCUAACUACGUG
rnacentral:rRNA from 1 species